rnacentral:hammerhead_ribozyme from 1 species
AUUGAGCUGAUGAGUCCCAAAUAGGACGAAACGUGCGUCCUGGAU